AGAGUUUGAUCCUGGCUCAGGACGAACGCUGGCGGCGUGCCUAACACAUGCAAGUCGAGCGAAGGGAGUACUACGGUACGAACUUAGCGGCGGACGGGUGAGUAACGCGUGGACAAUCUACCCUGUAGACUGGGAUAACACCUCGAAAGGGGUGCUAAUACCGGAUAAUGUCGAGAAGCGGCAUCGCUUUUCGAAGAAAGGAGGGAAUCCGCUAUAGGAGGAGUCCGCGUCCCAUUAGCUAGUUGGUGAGGGUAACGGCCCACCAAGGCGACGAUGGGUAGCCGGCCUGAGAGGGUGAACGGCCACACUGGAACUGAGACACGGUCCAGACUCCUACGGGAGGCAGCAGUGGGGAAUAUUGUGCAAUGGGGGAAACCCUGACACAGCGACGCCGCGUGAGUGAAGAAGGCCUUCGGGUCGUAAAGCUCAAUAGUAUGGGAAGAAAGAAAUGACGGUACCAUACGAAAGCCCCGGCUAACUACGUGCCAGCAGCCGCGGUAAUACGUAGGGGGCGAGCGUUGUCCGGAAUUACUGGGCGUAAAGAGCACGUAGGCGGCUAUAAAAGUCAGAUGUGAAAACCUGGGCUCAACCGAGGGUAUGCAUCUGAACUAAUAGCUUGAGUCAAGGAGAGGGANAGGCGGAAUCUUGUGUAGCGGUGAAAUGCGUAGAGAUCAGAGAAUACAGUGGGCGAACGCCGUAAUCGAUUGAUACUAGGUGUGGGUAGUAUAUCCGUGGCCGGAGUUAACGCAAUAAGUAUCCCGCUGGGGAGUACGGCCGCAAGGUUGAAACUCAAAGGAAUUGACGGGGGCCCGCACAAGCAGCGGAGCAUGUGGUUUAAUUCGAAGCAACGCGAAGAACCUUACCAGGGCUUGACAUCCACAGAAUCGAGUAGAAAUACUUGAGUGCCUCGUAAGAGGAGCUGUGAGACAGGUGGUGCAUGGUUGUCGUCAGCUCGUGUCGUGAGAUGUUGGGUUAAGUCCCGCAACGAGCGCAACCCCUGUUGGUAGUUACCAGCGUAAAGACGGGGACUCUACCGAGACUGCCGUGGAUAACACGGAGGAAGGCGGGGAUGACGUCAAAUCAUCAUGCCCUUUAUGCCCUGGGCUACACACGUGCUACAAUGGCCUGAACAGAGGGCAGCGAAGGAGCGAUCCGGAGCGAAUCCCAGAAAACAGGUCCCAGUUCAGAUUGCAGGCUGCAACCCGCCUGCAUGAAGACGGAGUUGCUAGUAAUCGCGGAUCAGCAUGCCGCGGUGAAUACGUUCCCGGGCCUUGUACACACCGCCCGUCACACCACGAGAGUUUACAACACCCGAAGUCAGUGACCUAACCGAAAGGGAGGAGCUGCCGAAGGUGGGGUAAAUGAUUGGGGUGAAGUCGUAACAAGGUAACC
rnacentral:rRNA from 1 species